AGUAUAUUUGAGGUGGAGAAAAAAAUUAAUGAGGCAGCCAAAGGAGAAAAUGUUGUUCUAAUGGGUGACUUCAACUAUCCUUGCACCUAUCCUUGCAACUAUCCAUUACUUGAUCCCACCCUUUUAAGUUCUGUGUUGAAUCAAUGCUUUAGUGCUUCACAGCCUUGUGCAGGAUGUUGUACUUGUAUACCCAAUGCUUUGAAGAACAAUUAAUAAAGGAACAAACAGAAAUGAUGCAAAUAAACUGGUGAGGGGGAAUGGAGUGAGCACAGAAAAUGGCAUUGAGGAGGACGUUCAGGGAAGCAGAGUAUUGUGGGGAACAUAGUAAAUAAAGGGCACAGCAGCUGAAGAUGUUUUCAAAAUGUUUCAGCCAAUGAAUCAUGGUAAAGGGGGAUUCAUUUAAAAUGUUUUGAAGCUGGAAAUAAAAUGUUUGGGGGUAAAGAUAGUGUGAAAUUCCAUGGAGAAAACAUUUUAUUUCCUGCCUCAGAAAGUUUUAUAAAAUUCGUGCAGAAAAGGCCAUUGUGUGGACACUUAAACACAUAAGUGGAGGUUCUGGUGGUGGGAACUCUAGAAAAAAGGCAUUUUGUUUGGAAAGGAAAAGAAUCAAAGAGGCAUUGUUUCACUGUUAUGCUCAGAACACUUACAGGGAAUCCAUUUGAGGACACAAACACCAAACUGAAUCCGCCAUUCUUCCAGCUUGUAACAAGGACUAUGCACCCCAUACAGGAUCAGAGCUUCACGGAGCAGAUGAAAUAGAAAAGAAACCACUAUCAGGGUUCCAAUGCAGUUCCCUAAACGGCAGCCCAACACCGGUGGCAGCGGCCAGGAUGGGCUCCAUUCACAUUGCAGAGCCAACCAUCUGCUGGAGCUACAACAUGACCGACAGUUAGAUUGACAGAGGCAUCUUCAUUCUCUGUCCAUUGCCCAGUCUCUCCUUUGAGCCUGUCUCCUGUACCUCUGGAAGCUGCUUACCCAGACAGUUAUUUAACUACCGUUCCUGUACUUGUCAUGGGCCUGAAGUCAUAGGGAUGAGACAGCUUUUGAGAUUCUGUUGUCAGUCUAUGCAGUUUCAAAGGUGGGGUCGAGAUUGAGAGAACUGUCAUUUUGCUUUCAGG